UAUGUGCCUGUGGACCACAUCGUAGCUGUGGUCACCAUGCAGUCCGUGGGCAUAUACA
rnacentral:pre_miRNA from 1 species